rnacentral:misc_RNA from 1 species
GCAAACUUGGUCAUUUAGAGGAAGUAAAAGUCGUAACAAGGUAACCGUAGGUGAACCUGCGGUUGGAUCAUUAAAAAAGAUCAAUCGAUACUUUCCCGAACCCCUUCAAAAAGGGGCGACGGUUAAGACCAUCGACACCAUUUGUGAACUGUGGAAAGGUGGCUUCAUUUUCGGCAGCCCGCUGUCGAAAUGAGUCAUUUUUUUUCCCCACUAUUUUAUGUCUAACCAUGUAUUCGUUUACAUCUUUUGAAUGAACGAAAAACAACUUUUGGCAACGGAUCUCUAGGCUCUCGCAUCGAUGAAGAACGCAGC